ensembl:snRNA U6 U6 spliceosomal RNA
GUGCUUGCUUCAGCAGCACAUAUACUAAAAUUGGAGCGACGCAGAGAAGAUUAGCAUGGCUUCUGUGCAAGGAUGACACGCCAAUUCACAAAGCAUUCUAUAUAUUU